GUCAUUAUUGUGUAGAAAAAAUGCUAUCAUUUUCCCUUAUUUAUUUUGCAUAUAUUAUUUGUGACAGAUUUGUGACGCAACUGUCAAUUAAAAAGGGUUUUCUUAUUUUUUGUAGGAAACUUGUCACAAGUUGUGACGAAAUUCCGACGGAUGGUUUAAGUUAAUUAAAAAAUAAAUAUUUCGUCAUAAAUGUGUAGGAAACGAUAUAAUUUAUGACAGAUUUGUAACGCAACUGUCAAUUAAUUAGGGUUUUCUUAUUUUGCGUCACAAAUUUGUAGGAAACGAUAUUAUUUUCCCUUAUUUAUUAGGCUUAUGUAAAUAUUUAUUCGGUAAAGAAUAAUAAUUAACCUUUUGUAGGUUAUUUCUGACAGAUUUGUGACGCAAGUGUCAAUUAAUUAGGGUUUUCUUGUUUUUCGUCAUGGAUGCAUCGAAAAUUUGUAACAAAAUCAUGAAAUUUUUUUUUGUAGGAAAUUCGUCAUAAAGGUGUUGUAAUCUGUGACGAAAAAAAUUGUGUAGGAAAUUUCUGUAGCAAAUUGUCCCCUUUUCUAGUAGUGACUUAAGCCAUAUGCUGAUGACAUUGUGAAAAAAUGUGAUGGAUUGCCUUUGGCAUUGAUCGCACUUGGGAAAUCACUGAACACAAAAGAAGAUGAAGCUUCAUGGAAGAAAGUGUUAGAAAGUGAGAUUUGGCAAUUACCGGCUGAAGGUGCAGCCCUAAGAGUAAGCUAUGAUGAUCUUUCUACACCUUUGAAGCAGUUGUUUGCAUACUGCUCCUUGUUCCCCAAGGGUUACAUGUUUGACAAGGAUGAAUUAGUUGCAUUAUGGAUGGCAGAAGGCUUUGUGAACGAGUCAACUUCAAACGAUAAAAUAGAAAGCUUAGGUCAUAAAUACUUUGACGAGUUGUUGUCAAGAUCAUUUUUU
rnacentral:lncRNA from 1 species